rnacentral:lncRNA from 1 species
ACGAGGACGGCAAACUGACAAUCAUAACAUAAGCUUCCAAGAUUUGAAUCAACAAGAUGACGAUAUUGUGAAUGAAAAUAUGACAACUCCUACUCUUCUUCUUCAAACUCUAAUGAAGCUAGCUCAAACGUGAAAUAGGAGCCGCUACUUGUCAAGAUUAAAGGUUAGAAGUAAUUUCAUUUGUUUAAUUAUUUUUUAUUGUUAUUACUUUUGAUUAAAGCUAAUUGCUUGUUAAAAUGAUAGAUACUUUGACCGGAGAAAUUAUAACUCAAAAGAUGAAAGUAGAUCGAGUUUGGAACUAAGAAAAAAAUAGAAAAGUCAUGAUGGAACUCAAUGGAGAUGGACAAGAAAGUGAUAAUGGUUCAAAUUUGCUUGUGAGAUUUCUUGGCAG